AGCGAACGCUGGCGGCAGGCCUAACACAUGCAAGUCGAACGGAUCCUUCGGGAUUAGUGGCGGACGGGUGAGUAACACGUGGGAACGUGCCCUUUGGUUCGGAACAACUCAGGGAAACUUGAGCUAAUACCGGAUGUGCCCUUCGGGGGAAAGAUUUAUCGCCAUUGGAGCGGCCCGCGUCUGAUUAGCUAGUUGGUGAGGUAAAGGCUCACCAAGGCUACGAUCAGUAGCUGGUCUGAGAGGAUGAUCAGCCACAUUGGGACUGAGACACGGCCCAAACUCCUACGGGAGGCAGCAGUGGGGAAUCUUGCGCAAUGGGCGAAAGCCUGACGCAGCCAUGCCGCGUGAAUGAUGAAGGUCUUAGGAUUGUAAAAUUCUUUCACCGGGGACGAUAAUGACGGUACCUGGAUAAGAAGCCCCGGCUAACUUCGUGCCAGCAGCCGCAGUAAAAC
rnacentral:rRNA from 1 species